GUGCCAGCAGCCGCGGUAACACCGGCGGCCCGAGUGGUGAUCGUGAUUAUUGGGUCUAAAGGGUCCGUAGCCGGUUUGGUCAGUCCUCCGGGAAAUCUGAUAGCUCAACUAUUAGGCUUUCGGGGGAUACUGCCAGACUUGGAACCGGGAGAGGUAAGAGGUACUACAGGGGUAGGAGUGAAAUCUUGUAAUCCCUGUGGGACCACCUGUGGCGAAGGCGUCUUACCAGAACGGGUUCCAAGAUCGCCAG
rnacentral:rRNA from 1 species